CAGUAGCCGCGGUAAUACAGAGGGUGCGAGCGUUAAUCGGAUUUACUGGGCGUAAAGCGUGCGUAGGCGGCUUUUUAAGUCGGAUGUGAAAUCCCUGAGCUUAACUUAGGAAUUGCAUUCGAUACUGGGAAGCUAGAGUAUGGGAGAGGAUGGUAGAAUUCCAGGUGUAGCGGUGAAAUGCGUAGAGAUCUGGAGGAAUACCGAUGGCGAAGGCAGCCAUCUGGCCUAAUACUGACGCUGAGGUACGAAAGCAUGGGGAGCAAACAGGAUUAGAUACCCGUGUAGUCCCUGUCUCUUACAC
rnacentral:rRNA from 1 species